rnacentral:ribozyme from 1 species
UUAUGUUUAUUCAAAUAGAUUUUCCAAUACAAAAUCCUCCUAUUGUUAAAAAAAAUCAAAAUCAAAAUAAUAAACAAUAUAAAAAUAAUCAGAAUAAUCAGA